rnacentral:rRNA from 1 species
GUCAGUUAGGGGUGAAAUCCCAGGGCUCAACCCUGGAACUGCCCUUAAUACUGACAGUCUUGAGUAUGGUAGAGGUGAGUGGAAUUCCGAGUGUAGAGGUGAAAUUCGUAGAUAUUCGGAGGAACACCAGUGGCGAAGGCGGCUCACUGGUCCAUUACUGACGCUGAGGUGCGAAAGCGUGGGGAGCAAACAGG